AUACGUAGGGGGCGAGCGUUGUCCGGAAUGACUGGGCGUAAAGGGCGUGUAGGCGGCGGUGUAAGUCUGGAGUGAAAGUCCCGCAUUCAAUGUGGGAAUUGCUUUGGGUACUGCAGUGCUAGAGUGCGGAAGAGGUAAGUGGAAUUCCCAGUGUAGCGGUGAAAUGCGUAGAGAUUGGGAGGAACACCAGUGGCGAAGGCGACUUACUGGGCCGUAACUGACGCUGAGGCGCGAAAGCGUGGGGAGCGAACAGGAUUAGAUACCCUGGUAGACCACGCGGUAAACGAUGAAUGCUAGGUGUUGCGGGUAUCGACCCCUGCAGUGCCGGAGUAAACACAAUAAGCAUUCCGCCUGGGGAGUACGGCCGCAAGGUUGAAACUCAAAUGAAUUGGCGGGG
rnacentral:rRNA from 1 species